AUUGAACGCUGGCGGCAGGCCUAACACAUGCAAGUCGAACGGUAACAGGAAGAAGCUUGCUUCUUUGCUGACGAGUGGCGGACGGGUGAGUAAUGUCUGGGAAACUGCCUGAUGGAGGGGGAUAACUACUGGAAACGGUAGCUAAUACCGCAUAACGUCGCAAGACCAAAGAGGGGGACCUUCGGGCCUCUUGCCAUCGGAUGUGCCCAGAUGGGAUUAGCUAGUAGGUGGGGUAACGGCUCACCUAGGCGACGAUCCCUAGCUGGUCUGAGAGGAUGACCAGCCACACUGGAACUGAGACACGGUCCAGACUCCUACGGGAGGAAGCAGUGGGGAAUAUUGCACAAUGGGCGCAAGCCUGAUGCAGCAAUGCCGCGUGUAUGAAGAAGGACUUCGGGUUGUAAAGUACUUUCAGCGGGGAGGAAGGGAGUAAAGUUAAUACCUUUGCUCAUUGACGUUACCCGCAGAAGAAGCACCGGCUAACUCCGUG
rnacentral:rRNA from 1 species